CACCAGUCCGCUAGCGACCCUGCGGAAACGCGUCAGGGCCGGAAGGCAGCAGCGCACCGCCGGGUCGCUAGGUGGACAGCCUGCA
rfam:Symbiobacterium thermophilum IAM 14863 DNA, complete genome.